rnacentral:rRNA from 1 species
GGAGGAAAAGAAACCAACAGGGAUUGCCCUAGUAACGGCGAGUGAACAGGCAAGAGCUCAGAUUUGAAAGGCACUUUUGUGCCGUUGUAUUCUGAAGUUAGGGUCCUGAGAAACGAUGCUUAAGUCUUCUGGAAAGGAGCGCCAUGGAGGGUGAUAGCCCCGUCUAGCAUUGACCUCAUAUAGGAUCUUAACAUGGAGUCGAGUUGUUUGGGAAUGCAGCUCAAAUGGGUGGUAUGCUCCAUCUAAAGCUAAAUAUCUGCGAGAGACCGAUAGUAAACAAGUACUGUGAGGGAAAGAUGAAAAGAACUUUGAAAAGAGAGUGAAAAAGUACGUGAAAUUGUUGAAAUGGAAGGGUAGGCCGCUAACCAUGUAGAGCCGUGUUUGGGGGGAAGAUAAAUGCUGUAGAAUGUAGCUCCUCGGAGUAUUAUAGAUGCAGUUCAUAUUCCCACCCGAGCGCGAGGAUCUCAGGUUCUACUAAAUGGUGGUCUACCACCCGUCUUGAACCACGG